rnacentral:rRNA from 1 species
AUGGGGGGAAACGCCAAGAAGCAAGUGCUAAGUGCCAUCAAGAUAUCUUCAGAUAGAUGGCAUCGGCGUUUAGGUCAUCCUUCUUCAGUCAUCGUUAGGAAAAUUGUUAGCAACAAUAACCUCCCAUGUGAUAUUUCUUUCAACAAUGAGUUUGUAUGUGAUGCUUGCCAAAAAGGCAAAAGUCACCAGCUACCAUAUCCAAAGUCAAUAAGUGAAUCAAAGUUCCCUUUAGAACUUGUCUUCUCCGAUGUUUGGGGUCCUGCUGUUGAAACAGUAGGGAGAAUUUUUUUUUAUGUGAGCUUUAUAGAUGACUUUAGCAAGUUUACUUGGAUUUAUCUCAUUAAACAUAAGUCUGAAGUUUUCCAAAAAUUUCAUGACUUCCAAAACCUUGUUGAAAGGCAGUUCAAUCGCAAAAUCCUUGCUCUUCAAACAGAUUGGGGUGGGGAGUAUGAAAAACUCAACUCCUUCACAAAAAUUGGCAUCUCUCAUCAUGUCUCUUGUCCUUAUGCUCAUCAACAAAAUGGCUCAGCAGAAUGUAAACACCGGCAUAUAGUUGAGGUUGGUUUAUCUCUUCUUUCCCAAGCUUGCAUGCCUCUAAAGUUUUGGGAUGAAGCUUUCAUUGCCGCCACAUAUUUGAUCAACCGUCUACCUAGUAAAGUUAUCAACUUUGAAACCCCUCUUGAA